rnacentral:lncRNA from 1 species
AGCGCAGAGCAAUAUCCUAUGGGUACCCUGUCCCCAGACCAAACAGAUGCCAAGUGCGAGCCCCAACUGGCUCUGCGCGGCUUCUGAGGCGGUUCCUGGUCUCUCACACAGCGCAUCCUGGAGGACCAGGAGAGCGCGCUGCCCGCCGCCAUGGUGCAGCCGCGCACGGGCGCCCUCUGCUGGUUCCUGGACGAGGCAGCUGCACGGCUGCUGUCUGUGCCCUUCGAGAAGCAUUCCACGUUAUAGGGGCCGCACCACGCACGCUGUGGGCACUUCGGGCCGCAGAGACUACGGGAGAGGACUACCUGCAGAUUAAACAGCUUUGCUGGAA